CCUACGGGAGGCUGCAGUCGAGAAUCUUCCGCAAUGGGCGAAAGCCUGACGGAGCGACACCGCGUGCAGGAUGAAGGCCCUCGGGUUGUAAACUGCUGUCACGCCAUAGGAAUGGCCUGGGGUUAAUAUCUCCAGGUUUGACCAAAGCGAAAGGAAGCACCGGCUAACUCCGUGCCAGCAGCCGCGGUAAUACGGAGGGUGCAAACGUUGUUCGGAAUCACUGGGCAUAAAGAGCACGUAGGCUGUCCAGCCAGUCAAAUGUGAAAGCCCUCGGCUCAACCGGGGAACUGCAUCUGAUACUACUGGACUCGAGGAUGGUUGGGGUGAGUGGAACUUCAGGUGGAGCGGUGAAAUGCGUAGAUAUCUGAAGGAACACCGGUGGCGAAGGCGACUCACUGGACCAAUUCUGACGCUGAGGUGCGAAAGCUAGGGGAGCGAAC
rnacentral:rRNA from 1 species